rnacentral:rRNA from 1 species
GGCGAGUGAGAGGAAGAGCUCAAAGUUGGAACCUGUUUGGCCUAGCUAAACCGGAUUGUAGACUGUAGAAGUGUUUUCCAGGCAAGCCGAGUAAAUAAGUCCUUUGGAACAGGGCAUCAUAGAGGGUGAGAAUCCCGUCUUUGGCUUGAGCAUUUGCCUUUUGUGAUACGCUUUCAAAGAGUCAGGUUGUUUGGGAAUGCAGCCUAAAUUGGGUGGUAAAUCUCACCUAAAGCUAAAUAUUGGCGAGAAACCGAUAGCGAACAAGUACCGUGAGGGAAAGAUGAAAAGAACUUUGAAAAGAGAGUUAAACAGUAUGUGAAAUUGUUAAAAGGGAACCGUUUGGAGCCAGACUGGCUUGUCUGUAAUCAAUCUAGGCUUCGGCCUGGAUGCACUUGCAGGCUAUGCCUGCCAACGACAAUUUGACUUGAGGGAAAAAACUAGGGGAAAUGUGGCCCACUUGUGGGUGUUAUAGUCCCUUAGAAAAUACCUUGGGUUGGAUUGAGGAACGCAGCGAAUGCUUAUUGGCGAGUUUUCCAGGAAGGUUUUCUGAGGUACUACGGUAUCAAGGUUGAUCUUUUUGGUUAUACUUCUAUUCGCUUAGGUUGUUGGCUUAAUGACUCUAAAUGACCCGUCUUGAA